rnacentral:rRNA from 1 species
GCGUUGUUCGUGAAAACUUCAGCUUAACUGUGGGCGUGCGGGCGAUACGGGCAGACUGGAGUACUGCAGGGGAGACUGGAAUUCCUGGUGUAGCGGUGGAAUGCGCAGAUAUCAGGAGGAACACCGGUGGCGAAGGCGGGUCUCUGGGCAGUAACUGACGCUGAGGAGCGAAAGCGUGGGGAGCGAACAGGAUUAGAUACCCUGGUAGUCCACGCCGUAAACGGUGGGUACUAGGUGUGGGUUUCCUUCCUUGGGAUCCGUGCCGUAGCUAACGCAUUAAGUACCCCGCCUGGGGAGUACGGCCGCGAGGCUAAAACUCAGAGGAAUUGACGGGGGCCCGCACAAGCGGCGGAGCAUGUGGAUUAAUUCGAUGCAACGCGAAGAACCUUACCUGGGUUUGACAUGCACAGGACGCCGGUAGAGAUGUCGGUUCCCUUGUGGCCUGUGUGCAGGUGGUGCAUGGCUGUCGUCAGCUCGUGUCGUGAGAUGUUGGGUUAAGUCCCGCAACGAGCGCAACCCUUGUCCUAUGUU